rnacentral:rRNA from 1 species
GUGUCAGCAGCCGCGGUAAUACGUAGGUGGCAAGCGUUGUCCGGAAUUAUUGGGCGUAAAGCGCGCGCAGGCGGGAUAUCAAGUCUAUCUUAAAAGUUCGGGGCUCAACCCCGUGAUGGGAUGGAAACUGGUAUUCUUGAGUGUCGGAGAGGAAAGUGGAAUUCCCAGUGUAGCGGUGAAAUGCGUAGAUAUUGGGAGGAACACCAGUGGCGAAGGCGACUUUCUGGACGAUGUCUGACGCUGAGGCGCGAAAGCCAGGGAAGUGAACGGGAUUAGAAACCCUGGUAGUCC